rnacentral:rRNA from 1 species
CUACGGGUGGCUCCAGUGGGGAAUAUUGCACAAUGGGCGCAAGCCUGAUGCAGCCAUGCCGCGUGUAUGAAGAAGGCCUUCGGGUUGUAAAGUACUUUCAGCGGGGAGGAAGGGAGUAAAGUUAAUACCUUUGCUCAUUGACGUUACCCGCAGAAGAAGCACCGGCUAACUCCGUGCCAGCAGCCGCGGUAAUACGGAGGGUGCAAGCGUUAAUCGGAAUUACUGGGCGUAAAGCGCACGCAGGCGGUUUGUUAAGUCAGAUGUGAAAUCCCCGGGCUCAACCUGGGAACUGCAUCUGAUAAUGGCAAGCCUGAGUCUCGUAGAGGGGGGUAGAAUUCCAGGUGUAGCGGUGAAAUGCGUAGAGAUCUGGAGGAAUACCGGUGGCGAAGGCGGCCCCCUGGACGAAGACUGACGCUCAGGUGCGAAAGCGUGGGGAGCAAACAGGAUUAGAUACCCUAGUAGUC